CCAGACUCCUACGGGAGGCAGCAGUGGGGAAUCUUGCGCAAUGGGCGAAAGCCUGAUGCAGCGACGCCGCGUGAGCGAUGAAGCCCUUCGGGGUGUAAAGCUCUUUCGGCAGGGACGAUAAUGACGGUACCUGCAGAAGCAGCUGCGGCUAACUACGUGCCAGCAGCCGCGGUAAUACGUAGGCAGCAAGCGUUGUUCGGAGUUACUGGGCGUAAAGGGUGUGUAGGCGGUUCUUUAAGUUUGGUGUGAAAUCUCCCGGCUUAACUGGGAGGGUGCGCCGAAUACUGAGGGACUAGAGUGCGGGAGAGGAAAGUGGAAUUCCUGGUGUAGCGGUGAAAUGCGUAGAUAUCAGGAGGAACACCGGUGGCGAAGGCGGCCUUCUGGACGGAUACUGACGCUGAGACGCGAAAGCGUGGGGAGCAAACAGGAUUAGAUACCCUGGUAGUCCACGCUGUAAACGAUGAAUACUAGGUGUCGGAUCGAAAGGUUCGGUACCGAAGCUAACGCAUUAAGUAUUCCACCUGGGGAGUACGAUCGCAAGGUUGAAACUCAAAGGAAUUGACGGGGGCCCGCACAAGCAGUGGAGCAUGUGGUUUAAUUCGAUGCAACGCGAAGAACCUUACCUGGGUUUGAAAGGCUCUGUAAACCGGUGAAAGCCGGCUAGUGUAGCAAUACACACGGAGUACAGGUGCUGCAUGGCUGUCGUCAGCUCGUGCCGUGAGGUGUUAGGUUAAGUCCUGCAACGAGCGCAACCCCUGCACUUAGUUGCCAUCAGGUCAAGCUGGGCACUCUAAGUGGACUGCCUACGCAAGUAGCGAGGAAGGUGGGGAUGACGUCAAGUCCUCAUGGCCCUUACAUCCGGGGCCACACACGUGCUACAAUGGCCACUACAGAGGGUUGCAGAGCCGCGAGGUGAAGCUAAUCCCAAAAAAGUGGUCUCAGUUCGGAUUGGAGUCUGCAACUCGACUCCAUGAAGCUGGAAUCGCUAGUAAUCG
rnacentral:rRNA from 1 species